AACGAACGCUGGCGGAAGGAAGAACAAAGGCAAGUCGAACGAGACCUUCGGGUCUAGUGGCGCACGGGUGCGUAACGCGUGGGAACCUGCCCUUAGGUUCGGAAUAACUCCCCGAAAGGGGUGCUAAUACCGGAUAAUGUCUUCGGACCAAAGAUUUAUCGCCUUUGGAUGGGCCCGCGUUGGAUUAGCUAGUUGGUAGGGUAAAAGCCUACCAAGGCGACGAUCCAUAGCUGGUCUGAGAGGAUGAUCAGCCACACUGGGACUGAGACACGGCCCAGACUCCUACGGGAGGCAGCAGUGGGGAAUAUUGGACAAUGGGCGAAAGCCUGAUCCAGCAAUGCCGCGUGCGUGCUGCCGGCCUUAGGGUUGUAAAGCUCUUUUACCCGGGAUGAUAAUGACAGUACCGGGAGACUAAGCUCCGGCUCCCUCCGUC
rnacentral:rRNA from 1 species